rnacentral:rRNA from 1 species
CGUCUUUGGUGCUGCCACCUAUAUAGAUUGAAUCCGCGCCGUAUAGCUAGUUGUAGGUACGGCUACAACGGCACGAACCGUAGGCGAACUGAGAGGUGAUCGUCACACUGACUGAGACACCGUCAGACUCCUACCGGAGGCAGCAGUAGGGAUCCUCGCAAUGGGCGAAAGCCUGACCGAGCACGCGCGGGAGUGAUGAAGGUCUUCGGAUCGUAAACUCUGUUAUCAGGGAAGAACAAAUGUGUAAGUAACUGUGCACAUCUUGACGGUACCUGAUCAGAAAGCACGGCUAACUACGUGCCAGCAGCCGCGGUAAUACGUAGGUGGCAAGCGUUAUCCGGGAAUUAUUGGGCGUAAAGCGCGCGUAGGCGGUUUUUUAAGUCUGAUGUGAAAGCCCACGGCUCAACCGUGGAGGGUCAUUGGAAACUGGAAAACUUGAGUGCAGAAGAGGAAAGUGGAAUUCCAUGUGUAGCGGUGAAAUGCGCAGAGAUAUGGAGGAACACCAGUGGCGAAGGCGACUUUCUGGUCUGUAACUGACGCUGAUGUGCGAAAGCGUGGGGAUCAAACAGGAUUAGAUACCCUGGUAGUCCACGCCGUAAACGAUGAGUGCUAAGUGUUAGGGGGUUUCCGCCCCUUAGUGCUGCAGCUAACGCAUUAAGCACUCCGCCUGGGGAGUACGACCGCAAGGUUGAAACUCAAAGGAAUUGACGGGGACCCGCACAAGCGGUGGAGCAUGUGGUUUAAUUCGAAGCAACGCGAAGAACCUUACCAAAUCUUGACAUCCUUUGACCGCUCUAGAGAUAGAGUCUUCCCCUUCGGGGGACAAAGUGACAGGUGGUGCAUGGUUGUCGUCAGCUCGUGUCGUGAGAUGUUGGGUUAAGUCCCGCAACGAGCGCAACCCUUAAGCUUAGUUGCCAUCAUUAAGUUGGGCACUCUAAGUUGACUGCCGGUGACAAACCGGAGGAAGGUGGGGAUGACGUCAAAUCAUCAUGCCCCUUAUGAUUUGGGCUACACACGUGCUACAAUGGACAAUACAAAGGGCAGCUAAACCGCGAGGUCAAGCAAAUCCCAUAAAGUUGUUCUCAGUUCGGAUUGUAGUCUGCAACUCGACUACAUGAAGCUGGAAUCGCUAGUAAUCGUAGAUCAGCAUGCUACGGUGAAUACGUUCCCGGGUCUUGUACACACCGCCCGUCACACCACGAGAGUUUGUAACACCCGAAGCCGGUGGAGUAACCAUUUAUGGAGCUAGCCGUCGAAGUGACAAUAAUUUG